CACCGCGGUUAUACGAGAGACCCAAGUUGACAAGAGUCGGCGUAAAGCGUGGUUAACAAAAAUAAACACUAAGGCCGAACACCCUCAAAGCUGUUAUACGCUUCUGAGUGCAGGAAGUUUGCCGACGAAAGUGGCCUUAACAAAGUGACCCCACGAAAACUAGGAAA
rnacentral:rRNA from 1 species